CCUACGGGAGGCUGCAGUGAGGAAUAUUGUUCAAUGGACGAGAGUCUGAACCAGCCAAGUCGCGUGAAGGAUGACUGCCCUAUGGGUUGUAAACUUCUUUUAUAUGGGAAUAAAAUGUUACACGUGUGGGAUUUUGUAUGUACCAUAUGAAUAAGGAUCGGCUAACUCCGUGCCAGCAGCCGCGGUAAUACGGAGGAUCCGCGCGUUAUCCGGAUUUAUUGGGUUUAAAGGGAGCGUAGGUGGAUUGUUAAGUCAGUUGUGAAAGUUUGCGGCUCAACCAUAAAAUUGCAGUUGAAACUGGCAGUCUUGAGUACAGUAGAGGUGGGCGGAAUUCGUGGUGUAGCGGUGAAAUGCUUAGAUAUCACGAAGAACUCCGAUUGCGAAGGCAGUUCACUGGACUGCAACUGACACUGAGGCUCGAAAGUGUGGGUAUCAAACAGGAUUAGAUACCCGGGUAGUC
rnacentral:rRNA from 1 species